UUCGAAAUGAGCCCCAAUGGCAUCUAUAGCAUGACCAGCUUGUCCAUGGAAUCCAAGAAGCUUUCCUCCAUUUUCACUUUUUAGAUUGAAUUCUUCUCCACUCAUCUCACCGAAUAAUGCAGAGGUAAAUCCUUUCGAGGUUGUGAAGUAUAGCGAUGUGAUAAGCGUUGUAUCGUAGUUGAAUAUAUGAUUAUAGCUUCCACCAACGGCUGUGAUAUAAUCAUUCGGAUUAUUCACGGAAAACUGGAUUUCAUUUUCCAUCACGAAAAAAAACUAAUGAUGAAGUUCUUCAAAGAAAACCAAUCGAAUAUGAAUGUUAACCAAAAUCACAAAUUUAUUUAUUUGUUUUGACCUCUUUUAGCUCCCCCCGAUUUGUCCCGUGUUCACGGAUUUCGACUUUUCCAUCCUUUACGUAUUCGAUCUUGAUAUAAGUUACGCUGUAUAUGUCUUUCCCCACAGUUAUUUUCUGCACACCAUCGAAAAUACCAUCAUCAAAUGUGUUUCCCUUCUCACCACCGACCGGUCCUAUCUGUGUGGUAGUGGGAGCUGGAGCUGGAGCUGGAGUGGCACUGGUACCGGGAGCAGCAGCGGGAGCUGGAUGGGGACCUUGGCCGGGAGCAGGACCGGGAGCUGGACGG
rnacentral:lncRNA from 1 species